rnacentral:lncRNA from 1 species
AGAGGAAUCGAUGAGGCCGAGCGGCGCCACGGUUGCCACAGGUUGAGACAGCGUCCUAGGACGAGGCUGGCCUCAGCCCCACGACCCCGCGGCCACCCCGACAGUCCUUUUGUUCCCUCGCGCGGGCGCCUGACACUCACCAAGCGGAUGAAGCCGAAGCCACGGUCCCGGUUGAUGAAGACUUCGCUGGGCUCGCCAUAGCGUUCGAAGAGCCUCUUGAAGUCCUCCUCCGUGAUGUCGGUGGGCAGAUUUCCCACGAAGAGGCGGCA